UACAGAGGGUGCAAGCGUUGUUCGGAAUUAUUGGGCGUAAAGAGCGUGUAGGCGGCCAGGUAGGUCGGUUGUGAAAACUGGAGGCUCAACCUCGAGCUGUCGGUGGAAACUGUCUGGCUAGAGUCCGGAAGAGGAGAGUGGAAUUCCUGGUGUAGCGGUGAAAUGCGCAGAUAUCAGGAAGAACACCUAUGGCGAAGGCAGCUCUCUGGGACGGUACUGACGCUGAGACGCGAAAGCGUGGGGAGCGAACAGG
rnacentral:rRNA from 1 species